CUAGCCGUAAACGAUGGAUACUAGGCGUUGUGAGUAUCGACCCUCACAGUGUCGUAGCUAACGCGUUAAGUAUCCCGCCUGGGGAGUACGCGCGCAAGCGUGAAACUCAAAGGAAUUGACGGGGCCCGCACAAGCGGUGGAGUAUGUGGUUUAAUUCGAUGCAACGCGAAGAACCUUACCAGGACUUGACAUGUCGCGAAUCUCAGGGAAACUUGAGAGUGCCUCCGGGAGCGCGAACACAGGUGGUGC
rnacentral:rRNA from 1 species